CAGCAGCCGCGGUAAUACGAAGGGGGCUAGCGUUGUUCGGAUUUACUGGGCGUAAAGGGCGCGUAGGCGGAUUUGUAAGUCAGGGGUGAAAUCCCGAGGCUCAACCUUGGAACUGCCUUUGAUACUGUUUGUCUUGAGUUCGAGAGAGGUAAGUGGAACUGCGAGUGUAGAGGUGAAAUUCGUAGAUAUUCGCAAGAACACCAGUGGCGAAGGCGGCUUACUGGCUCGAUACUGACGCUGAGGAGCGAAAGCGUGGGGAGCGAACGGGAUUAGAUACCCCUGUAGUCCCUGUCUCUUAUAC
rnacentral:rRNA from 1 species